GAUGAACGCUAGCUACAGGCUUAACACAUGCAAGUCGAGGGGCAGCAUGAAAGGAACUUCGGUUCUUUNUGAUGGCGACCGGCGCACGGGUGCGUAACGCGUAUCGAACCUGCCUCAUACUCGGGGAUAGCCUUGCGAAAGUAAGAUUAAUACCCGGCGGUCUCGGAUGGCCGCAUGACUGUCCGAGUGAAGAUUUAUCGGUAUGAGAUGGCGAUGCGUCCCAUUAGCUUGUUGGUGAGGUAACGGCUCACCAAGGCAUCGAUGGGUAGGGGUUCUGAGAGGAAGGUCCCCCACAUUGGAACUGAGACACGGUCCAAACUCCUACGGGAGGCAGCAGUGAGGAAUAUUGGUCAAUGGGCGAGAGCCCGAACCAGCCAAGUAGCGUGAAGGAUGACUGCCCUAUGGGUUGUAAACUUCUUUUAUAAAGGAAUAAAGUCGGGUAUGCAUACCCGUUUGCAUGUACUUUAUGAAUAAGGAUCGGCUAACUCCGUGCCAGCAGCCGCGGUAAUACGGAGGAUCCGAGCGUUAUCCGGAUUUAUUGGGUUUAAAGGGAGCGUAGAUGGAUGUUUAAGUCAGUUGUGAAAGUUUGCGGCUCAACCGUAAAAUUGCAGUUGAUACUGGAUAUCUUGAGUGCAGUUGAGGCAGGCGGAAUUCGUGGUGUAGCGGUGAAAUGCUUAGAUAUCACGAAGAACUCCGAUUGCGAAGGCAGCCUGCUAAGCUGCAACUGACAUUGAGGCUCGAAAGUGUGGGUAUCAAACAGG
rnacentral:rRNA from 1 species